UCCAGAGGCAGCUUCCUGAACAAAUACUUGAGGUCCUCUGUAGGCUUCCCGGAGUAGACUGUUUCCUCUGAAAAGGCCUGUUCAUCAGGAGAAGCAAAAGGUUUUAUUCUAGAGACAUGGACUCAAGUCGGAAGUCCUUCCAACGUUAUGACUGUUGGAGUGGACAAGAUAACCUGGGAGUGGUUACCUGGAGCCCUGGUGUCUUUGGAAGGACCAGAUACCCCAUAGCUUUUCUGCAGAAGCAGAUAACUGUUUAGACACAAGUUUCUCCAAAAAAAAUCCUGGUGGAAUUUUAAUUUGGAUUAUGUUAAAUUUAUAGAUUAAUACAUGGAGAAUCAAUAUCUUUAUGCUAUUGAGUCUUCCUAUCUAAAAUCAAGAUUUCAAAUGACUUCCACACAUUAUUUUACUUGAUCUUUACAACAGACAACAGUCUUAUAAGGUGAUACCUAAAAUUGCUGCAGCAUCUUCCUCCCAGGCUGAGGAUGAAGCCAGUUUCAAAGAUGACGGAGCAGUGAUAGAGACUACAUGGAUCCUUGAUAUUGUUGAGUCAUUAUUGAACCAAUUCUGGAGCCUACCUUACCUCUGGACUUUAUUCCUUAAAUGAUUUUGAGUUGGAGUUUCUAUUACAUAUAGCUGAAAGCUUCCUAAUUUCCUUUGUCUACUCUCCUUUCCUCUAAGUACUUCUCAAUUUCCAAAAUUAUCUUUUGAGUUUACCUGUUUGGGGCUUUAUUGUCUAUCUAAAUGUAAGUUUUACAAGACUUUAUUCUGUCUACUACAGUAUCUACAAAACCAAAAACAGUGCCCAGCUCAUAGUAAAUGUUCAAUAAGUAUUUGUUGAAUUAGAUGAAUGAAUAAACAAAGUGUGGUGUUAACAGUGAGUGAGGCUGGCAAUGAGUCCUCACUUUUAUUAUGUUUUGCACUCUCAAAUAUGUACACUACAGAAAAGAGGCCAUUUCAGUGAAAAUAUUCACCUGGUUAUUGUGAUUGCUAUGUUGAAGCAUUGUUAUUGCAGACAUUUCUUCAUUCUACUCAGGACCAAGGGCCCACUGAUUUCCUCCUGCCAACAAAGGCCAGGAUGCUCUGGGGACUGAAUGUGCAAGCCCAAAGGUUGUAUUGUCUUGUUUCCAUAUAUAGUAUUAAAUUAUGGGCUAUCCAACAGUUAAAGAAGCUAGACCUCUUGGUAGGGAAAAGAAAUAAAACAUUU
rnacentral:lncRNA from 1 species